UGGUCGUUGCCUUCUACGUCGAC
rnacentral:siRNA from 1 species